rnacentral:rRNA from 1 species
UACGUAGGGUGCAGGCGUUAAUCGGAAUUACUGGGCGUAAAGCGUGCGCAGGCGGUUUGCUAAGACAGGUGUGAAAUCCCCCGGGCUUAACCUGGGAACUGCGCUUGUAACUGGCAAGCUUGAGUGUGGCAGAGGGGGGGUGGAAUUCCGACGUGUAGCAGUGAAAUGCGUAGAGAUGUGGAGGAACACCGAUGGCGAAGGCAGCCCCCCUGGGCUAACACUGACGCUCAUGCACGAAAGCGUGGGGAGCAAACAGG